rnacentral:rRNA from 1 species
GAGGACCAUCUCCUAAGGCUAAAUACUCUCUAGUGACCGAUAGUGAACCAGUACCGUGAGGGAAAGGUGAAAAGCACCCCGGAAGGGGAGUGAAAUAGAACCUGAAACCGUGUGCUUACAAGUAGUCAGAGCCCGUUAAUGGGUGAUGGCGUGCCUUUUGUAGAAUGAACCGGCGAGUUACGAUUUGAUGCAAGGUUAAGCAGUAAAUGUGGAGCCGUAGCGAAAGCGAGUCUGAAUAGGGCGUUUAGUAUUUGGUCGUAGACCCGAAACCAGGUGAUCUACCCUUGGUCAGGUUGAAGUUCAGGUAACACUGAAUGGAGGACCGAACCGACUUACGUUGAAAAGUGAGCGGAUGAACUGAGGGUAGCGGAGAAAUUCCAAUCGAACCUGGAGAUAGCUGGUUCUCUCCGAAAUAGCUUUAGGGCUAGCCUCAAGUGAUGAUUAUUGGAGGUAGAGCACUGUUUGGACGAGGGGCCCCUCUCGGGUUACCGAAUUCAGACAAACUCCGAAUGCCAAUUAAUUUAACUUGGGAGUCAGAACAUGGGUGAUAAGGUCCGUGUUCGAAAGGGAAACAGCCCAGACCACCAGCUAAGGUCCCAAAAUAUAUGUUAAGUGGAAAAGGAUGUGGCGUUGCCCAGACAACUAGGAUGUUGGCUUAGAAGCAGCCAUCAUUUAAAGAGUGCGUAAUAGCUCACUAGUCGAGUGACACUGCGCCGAAAAUGUACCGGGGCUAAACAUAUUACCGAAGCUGUGGAUUGUCCUUUGGACAAUGGUAGGAGAGCGUUCUAAGGGCGUUGAAGCAUGAUCGUAAGGACAUGUGGAGCGCUUAGAAGUGAGAAUGCCGGUGUGAGUAGCGAAAGACGGGUGAGAAUCCCGUCCACCGAUUGACUAAGGUUUCCAGAGGAAGGCUCGUCCGCUCUGGGUUAGUCGGGUCCUAAGCUGAGGCCGACAGGCGUAGGCGAUGGAUAACAGGUUGAUAUUCCUGUACCACCUAUAAUCGUUUUAAUCGAUGGGGGGACGCAGUAGGAUAGGCGAAGCGUGCGAUUGGAUUGCACGUCUAAGCAGUAAGGCUGAGUAUUAGGCAAAUCCGGUACUCGUUAAGGCUGAGCUGUGAUGGGGAGAAGACAUUGUGUCUUCGAGUCGUUGAUUUCACACUGCCGAGAAAAGCCUCUAGAUAGAAAAUAGGUGCCCGUACCGCAAACCGACACAGGUAGUCAAGAUGAGAAUUCUAAGGUGAGCGAGCGAACUCUCGUUAAGGAACUCGGCAAAAUGACCCCGUAACUUCGGGAGAAGGGGUGCUCUUUAGGGUUAACGCCCAGAAGAGCCGCAGUGAAUAGGCCCAAGCGACUGUUUAUCAAAAACACAGGUCUCUGCUAAACCGUAAGGUGAUGUAUAGGGGCUGACGCCUGCCCGGUGCUGGAAGGUUAAGAGGAGUGGUUAGCUUCUGCGAAGCUACGAAUCGAAGCCCCAGUAAACGGCGGCCGUAACUAUAACGGUCCUAAGGUAGCGAAAUUCCUUGUCGGGUAAGUUCCGACCCGCACGAAAGGCGUAACGAUUUGGGCACUGUCUCAACGAGAGACUCGGUGAAAUCAUAGUACCUGUGAAGAUGCAGGUUACCCGCGACAGGACGGAAAGACCCCGUGGAGCUUUACUGUAGCCUGAUAUUGAAAUUCGGCACAGCUUGUACAGGAUAGGUAGGAGCCUUUGAAACG